rnacentral:misc_RNA from 1 species
GAUGAAGAACGUAGCGAAAUGCGAUAAGUAAUAUGAAUUGCAGAAUUCAGUGAAUCAUCGAAUCUUUGAACGCACAUUGCGCCCGCCAGCAUUCUGGCGGGCAUGCCUGUUCGAGCGUCAUUUCAACCCUCGAGCCCCCCCGGGGGCCUCGGUGUUGGGGGACGGCACACCAGCCGCCCCCGAAAUGCAGUGGCGACCCCGCCGCAGCCUCCCCUGCGUAGUAGCACACACCUCGCACCGGAGCGCGGAGGCGGUCACGCCGUAAAACGCCCAACUUUCUUAGAGUUGACCUCGGAUCAGGUAGGAAUACCCGCUGAACUUAAGCAUAUCAAUAAGCGGAGGA